rnacentral:rRNA from 1 species
AGCAGCCGCGGUAAUUCCAGCUCCAAUAGCGUAUAUUAAAGUUGUUGCGGUUAAAAAGCUCGUAGUUGGUUCUGUGUGCCACGCUGUUGGUUCACCGCCUGUCGGUGUAACUGACAUGUCGUGGGACGUCCUGUCGGUGGUAUUUGCAAUCCGGUUUAACAGUAGGGCUCUGCUUUAUUGUUUAUCCCGGUUUUUGUAAUUACCGAUUAAUUCCCGCCUCGGUGCUCUUUAUUGAGUGUCGAGGAGGGCCGACACGUUUACUUUGAACAAAUUAGAGUGCUUCAAGCAGGCAAUAUUCCGCCUGAAUACUUGUGCAUGGAAUAAUGGAAUAGGACCUUGGUUCUAUUUUGUUGGUUUUAAGUAUCCAAGGUAAUGAUCAAUAUGGACGGUCGGGGGCAUUCGUAUUGCGGCGUUAGAGGUGAAAUUCUUGGAUCGUCGCAAGACGAACUAGAGCGAAAGCAUUUGCCAAGUAUGUCUUAAUUGAUCAAGAACGAAAGUUAGAGGUUCGAAGGCGAUCAGAUACCGCCCUAGUUCUAACCAUAAACGAUGUCAGCCAACGAUCCGCCGAUGUUCCAUUAAUGACUCGGCGGGCAGCUUCCGGGAAACC